rnacentral:rRNA from 1 species
GAUGAACGCUAGCGGGAGGCCUAACACAUGCAGGCCGAGCGGUAUUGUUUCUUCGGAAAUGAGAGAGCGGCGUACGGGUGCGGAACACGUGUGCAACCUGCCUUUAUCUGGGGGAUAGCCUUUCGAAAGGAAGAUUAAUACUCCAUAAUAUAUUGAUUGGCAUCAAUUAAUAUUGAAAGCUCCGGCGGAUAGAGAUGGGCACGCGCAAGAUUAGCUAGUUGGUGAGGUAACAGCUCACCAAGGCGAUGAUCUUUAGGGGGCCUGAGAGGGUGAUCCCCCACACUGAUACUGAGACACGGACCAGACUCCUACGGGAGGCAGCAGUGAGGAAUAUUGGUCAAUGGGUGCAAGCCUGAACCAGCCAUCCCGCGUGAAGGACGACUGCCCUAUGGGUUGUAAACUUCUUUUGUAUAGGGAUAAACCUACCCUCGUGAGGGUAGCUGAAGGUACUAUACGAAUAAGCACCGGCUAACUCCGUGUCAGCAGCCGCCGUAACAC